rnacentral:rRNA from 1 species
CAGCCGCCGCGGUAAUACGGAGGGAGCUAGCGUUGUUCGGAAUUACUGGGCGUAAAGCGCACGUAGGCGGUUAUUCAAGUCAGAGGUGAAAGCCCGGGGCUCAACCCCGGAACUGCCUUUGAAACUAGAUGACUGGAAUCUUGGAGAGGUCAGUGGAAUUCCGAGUGUAGAGGUGAAAUUCGUAGAUAUUCGGAAGAACACCAGUGGCGAAGGCGACUGACUGGACAAGUAUUGACGCUGAGGUGCGAAAGCGUGGGGAGCAAACAGGAUUAGAUACCCCAGUAGUCCCUGUCUCUUAUAA